rnacentral:rRNA from 1 species
AGAGUUUGAUCCUGCGCUCAGAUUGAACGCUGGCGGCAUGCUUACACAUGCAAGUCGAACGGUAACAGGUUAAGCUGACGAGUGGCGAACGGAGAUGAGUAAUGUAUCGGAACGUGCCCAGUCGUGGGGGAUAACUGCUCGAAAGAGCAGCUAAUACCGCAUACGACCUGAGGGUGAAAGCGGGGGAUCGCAAGACCUCGCGCGAUUGGAGCGGCCGAUAUCAGGUUAGGUAGUUGGUGGGGUAAAGGCCCACCAAGCCAACGAUCUGUAGCUGGUCUGAGAGGACGACCAGCCACACUGGGACUGAGACACGGCCCAGACUACUACGGGAGGCAGCAGUGGGGAAUUUUGGACAAUGGGCGCAAGCYKGAUCCAGCCAUGCCGCGUGCGGGAAGAAGGCCUUCGGGUUGUAAACCGCUUUUGUCAGGGAAGAAAAGGUUCUGGCUAAUACCUGGGACUCAUGACGGUACCUGAAGAAUAAGCACCGGCUAACUACGUGCCAGCAGCCGCGGUAAUUACGUAGGGUGCAAGCGUUAAUCGGAAUUACUGGGCGUAAAGCGUGCGCAGGCGGUUAUGCAAGACAGAGGUGAAAUCCCCGGGCUCAACCUGGGAACUGCCUUUGUGACUGCAUAGCUAGAGUGCGGCAGAGGGGGAUGGAAUUCCGCGUGUAGCAGUGAAAUGCGUAGAUAUGCGGAGGAACACCCAUGGCGAAGGCAAUCCCCUGGGCCUGCACUGACGCCCAUGCACGAAAGCGUGGGGAGCAAACAGGAUUAGAUACCCUGGUAGUCCACGCCCUAAACGAUGUCAACUGGUUGUUGGGAGGGUUUCUUCCCAGUAACGUAGCUAACGCGUGAAGUUGACCGCCUGGGGAGUACGGCCGCAAGGUUGAAACUCAAAGGAAUUGACGGGGACCCGCACAAGCGGUGGAUGAUGUGGUUUAAUUCGAUGCAACGCGAAAAACCUUACCUACCCUUGACAUGUCUGGAAUCCUGAAGAGAUUUGGGAGUGCUCGAAAGAGAGCUAGAACACAGGUGCUGCAUGGCCGUCGUCAGCUCGUGUCGUGAGAUKUUGGGUUAAGUCCCGCAACGAGCGCAACCCUUGUCAUUAGUUGCUACGRAAGGGCACUCUAAUGAGACUKCCGGUGACAAACCGGAGGAAGGUGGGGAUGACGUCAGGUCAUCAUGGCCCUUAUGGGUAGGGCUACACACGUCAUACAAUGGCCGGGACAGAGGGCUGCCAACCCGCGAGGGGGAGCUAAUCCCAGAAACCCGGUCGUAGUCCGGAUCGUAGUCUGCAACUCGACUGCGUGAAGUCGGAAUCGCUAGUAAUCGCGGAUCAGCUUGCCGCGGUGAAUACGUUCCCGGGUCUUGUACACACCGCCCGUCACACCAUUGGGAGCGGGUUCUGCCAGAAGUAGUUAGCCUAACCGCAAGGAGGGCGAUUACCACGGCAGGGUUCGUGACUGGGGUGAAGUCGUAACAAGGUAGCCGUAUCGGAAGGUGCGGCUGGAUCACCUCCUU